UUAAAUUUAGAACAGUAUCACUAUUGUAGAGCUAACAUUAAGUUAAAAGCACUUGAAUUUAGAUUAGUUAUGAUACAAAAGCACUUCUUAUGAGUAAAACAAUGCAUAAUAUGAGUAUUUCCAGCUAACUUCAAGACAUUUUUUAUCCUAAAAUGCUUAAAUAAUCACUUUUUAAUCUUAUUUCAAGUUGGUGGUGGUCUAAAAUCUAGGACAAUGUCACUAUUUUAGAACUUUAAAUGAGUUAAAUACACUUGAAAUAAGAGGGAUGCCAUGAACAGUGAAAAAAUAAAAAGCUACUUUUGAGCAUUUCAAGCUUAUUAUGAUACACAACACUUUCUAAUACUAGUAAAAUAUAGCUCAAAAUAAGUUUACCUGGCUAAUUUCAAGAUCAAUUCCUAUCUCAAAAGUCCUAAAUAUUACAUCUUAUUUCAAGAAAUCUUGACAAGCCGAUUUUCACUAGUUCCAUUGGCAGAUUUUUUUGCUUAUUUCAAGCAAAAACGUCUCGUAUUUGUUGUUUUUUUACUUAUUUUUGGAGGGGCAUUUUUUCCAGUGCACCACUGCGGUCUGCCACUCUUUUGCCACUGUCCCAGACUUCCACGCAAUGUUGCUUUUAGCAUCUCUGGACAGAUCUCAUCAAUCCCCGGGGCUUUGCCCCGGAGGUCACUGACUACCUCAGUGACCUCCACCAGGCAAAUUCACGAUGAUCCCUCCUCCGCCUCCAUCUCCGCCUCUACCAAAGAGGGCGUAGUAGUUGGAUUCAGGAGUUUCUUAAAGUGUUCCUUCCACCGCCCGAUAACCUCCUCAGUCGCGGUCAACAGGGUCCCAUCCUUACUCUACACUGCUUGGAUGGUUCCCCGUUUCCACCUCCUGAUGGUCUUCCAGAAGCACUUUGGUGCCGACCGAAAGUCCUUCUCCAUAGUUACCCCAAACUUCUCCCAUCUUCGGUGCUUUGCCACCAUCACGGCAGAGGCUGCUGCCCUUCGAGCCUGUCGGUAAACUGCAACUGCCUCCAGAGUCCCACCGGAUAUCAUAACCCAGAAGGCCUCCUUCUACAAGUCGGACGGCUUCCCUGACCACUGGGGUCCACCACGGGGUUCGAGGGGUUACCGCCCCUUGACGCACCUAAGACCUCGAGGCCACAACUCACUUCCGUGGCUUCAGUAAUGGAAGUUUUGAACAUACACCACUCUGGUUCAAUGUCACCUACCUCCACAGGAAUGUGAGAGAAAUGCCCCCGGAGGUGUGAGUUGAAAAUCUUUUGGAUCGGGGCCUCCUCCAGACGUUCCCAGUUCACCCUCACUACACGCUUGGGUUCACCAGGUCUGUCCCGAGUCUUUCCCCAUCCCCUGACCCAGCUCACCACCAGAUGGUGAUCAGUUGACAGCUCUGCCCCUCUUUACCCGAGUGUCCAGAACAUGCAGCCUCAGAUCAGACGAUACGAUUACAAAAUCAAUCAUUGAUCUUUGGCCUAGGGUGUUCUGGUACCACGUACACUUAUGAACAUCCUUAUGUCCGAACAUGGUGUUUGUUAUGGACAAUCUGUGACUGGCAAACAGACAACCGCUCGAGUUCAGACACUGCAUGAAAAGUGGGAUUUUCGGCAGUAUGCGGCACUGUAAAUUGUCAUGGAAUUUCAGGUUUGCGGCAAUUUGCGGGCAACGCCGAAAACUGCCGUAAAUUGUCAGAAAUUGAUGUGGGCCUCCCUUGGCAGUUGUCCCCCCAUGCCCCCCCCUCCUCCUAAUUCUAGGGGAGGCUUUGACAUGUAAAUGAAAAUGCUGUGAGCUAUACAAAUGCCAAUCAGGGUCGCAGAGGGAGUUUUAGCCCAGGUGACUUUUUUAAAAGGUAAGAAAAUCUCUGGUACAAAUAGAUCAGGCUCAGUAGCCUAAUUAUAGACUCUUACAUUUUAGCUUGAAUUGAUUUAUUUAAUUCAAAUAUGCUAGAUUACUGUGUACGCCAUUAGCAAUGGCAAAUGUUAUGUAAAAAAGAUACACAAAAUAACUUCUUUAAAAAAUUAGUUUUAAUCAAGGUAAAAUGAGCAUUCCAUGCAAACAACAUUUGAAUCAGCAUGAGGGGUCUGCAGAGAUCACAGUCUCCUAGAGCUCAACUACAGUGCAUAGUGGCAGGACUACAGUGACCUUUUCUUUGGUCCUACUUAAAUGCACAGAGGAUGUAUUAACCACACAUCUUCUAGCAAUGCGCUCAACUGGCAGAAAUGAUGCUGGGUAUGACGUGUCUGUUCCCUGCAAGCCCCAAACUUCUAUUGGCUUUCCAUAAAAAUGUCUGUCCGGGUGGAGAUGAAGCCAGGAAACUUGUGCAAGAACAUGUUUAAAUGCCGUACCCUUUGACACAACAUUAACAACUAUAAACUGCUUUAUAAUGGCUGGUCGCAGUUCUGCUAGAGGGUCAAGGAUGGGUUCCUCUAAACUGUUAGUGUUUCCACACCACUUAGCAUAAACACAUGCUGACCUUUAUGCUCUGCAUCUAUCGAUUGAGUAAGUUACAUUCAUAUAUGUUACCUGUUUACAUGUCAUGGCAAAACAUUCAACCUCAGUGACACAAGGGUACAUCUGAUGAUACAUUGUCAACAUUGCAUGUCUGUCAGACUCAAGAGUGUCUGGUGGAAUGGAGAAAGAGGCACCACUGUAGUUUUCUAGGGAAAGUCGUUCUGCUGACACCAAAACACUGCUUUACAUAAAGCAUAUCAGCUGUUUCAAAGUCCCAACCAUUUGUCUUCCUAAAAUACUGGUCCUUCCGUAUAACAAUAACCUCGUAUGUGAUUGGAGGACCCUUAGACUCCUCGUCCAAUCACGUGUGAGGUCAUAGGCAUGACUCAGACAGCAGUACUUGCAAGAUGAGCAUAUAUUCAGAAGAACUGUAUCUCCAGUUCCUUUGUUUGGUUUUUGCUGCUUCGUGAAUAAUGGCUGGACGACAUCUCGCGUUCAACUCGCCUUCAACUCCUCUCCGCGGUCACCAACUUUCGGCCAGUCCGCAGACAGACGAGAAGAAGCUGCUGAAUGCUCUCAGUGGAUAGUCUCGUCAACUCCAACAACAAACUGCCGAUAUCAACGAGCGGUUCGCUCCACUGGAGCGUUCGGGACUCUCAGGUUUCUGUCCAUGAAGGAGAGGAACUGACUCAAAGAAGAGGAGACGUGCGCACAAUCCGACGAUAGCGGAAGCGGUGCGGCGUCUUCACAACUCCGAGACGAAUUACAGGGGUUACGAACCGGAGCAAGGACUAAUCUCGCCUCAUGAGGCGGUGACCUCAUAUUUGCUCCGGUGUUAUGUUCUGACUCCCCAGGAGGGGAGUGGGAUUCACGCCACUGCCCGAGGACGUCCUGUGACCAGUAAACGGGUAUGGCGUCGUAGGUGCAAGAAAACAAACAUCACCUGAAGUUGGGCCACCUGUGAGACGUAUUUUGAGACGGGACGCAGGAGCUUCAGGUUCAGGCGGAACACUCAUUGCGGGCGGAAGCUGCGAAGGAUUCAGCGCGGAGUCGAGCGAGAAGAAAGAGGCUGCUGGAAUCGAGACAAAGUGUGCUGGCUGAUGACGAGGUGGAACUCUGGAAAUCCGCCACCGUAGAGCUCACGUCGGACGGAGGGGACGGCGUUGUUGGCGGGGUCUUGGGGUGGAUUGUACGGUCGCCACACACACACACGAGCCGCCUGCACAACAGACCUGCCUCGGAAAACACGGCGCCAGUGACGGUCUACAACCCCGAGGAGGCAAACGGACAGUUUACUGAGCUGUAGUUUUUAAACCGCCGUUACCCAAUUGUGGGCAGAUCCUCACUUUGUAUGUAGUUGUUGUUGUUUGUGUGUUGUUAAUAAAGCUCUUUCUUUGCAUAAACAUGUGGCAAAUGUUCAUUUUCUCUAUAAAUUCAUUGAUGUCCUGGUUGGUAUCCUAAUAAUAGUGUAGUAACCUACAUAGGAUAACCAUGAAAUGAAUAUACAGCUUAAUAUGAUUAUAUAAAUAAAAUGAGGCGGGUGACCAAUAGCGACAGAUCUGCCAACCAAUCACGAGUGAUUGAAAGUUGUGGUUUCAUCCAAUCAUGAACAAGGAAACUCAAGCCUGGUCAGCCCAUGUGUGGUUUUGCUGCCAAUCACGAGUGAUUUUAUUUGUUAGUAAGUUGUGGUUUCAUCCAAUAAGGAGUAAGGAUAUUCAAGCCUGCUCGGCUCGGCCACCCGCGGUUUUGCUGCAUUCAUAUGCUAAUUUGGGCCAUUCGCACCUCCGCCAGCUCUCCACCUACGUCAUGGUUCGUUUCCGACAAUUUGUGGCACAGACAAACGCAACGUGCGCGGGUUGCAAAUUGUCGGAAAUUAGGGAGAUUUCCGGGCGUUUACGGGGACGAAAAUCUCACUUUUCAUGCAGUGAGAUCAGGGAGAUUAUUCCUCCCAAUCACGCCUCUCCAGUUAUCUCCAUCGUCGCCCACGUGAGCAUUGAAGUCUCCCAGUAGGACUAUGGAGUCCUCUACUGGAGCCCUAUGCAGGACUCCAUUCAGGGUCUCCAAAAUGGCCGAAUACUCUGAGCUGCUGUUUGGUGCAUAUGCACAGGCAACAGUCAGAGUUUCCAACCCAUCACCCGAAGGCGUAGGGAGGCGACCCUUUUGUCCACCGUAAACUCCAGUGUAUCAGCACUCCGGGGACGCCGGGGACCUAUGAGUAUCCCCACACCCGCCUGGCGCCUCACACCAUGGGCUACUCCGGAGUAGAAUAGAGCCCAUCCCCUAUCCAGGAAUUUGGUGCCAGAGCUGAGGCGGUGCGUAGAGGUAAGCCCCACCAGAUCCAACUGAUAACGCUCCACCUCCUGCACAAGCUCCGGCUCCUUCCCCCCCAGAG
ensembl:lncRNA